rnacentral:rRNA from 1 species
GACGAACGCUGGCGGCGUGCUUAACACAUGCAAGUCGAACGGUGAAGCGCUUGCCUUUUUGGUGGGUGUGGAUGAGUGGCGAACGGGUGAGUAACACGUGAGUAACCUGCCCUCUUCUUCUGGAUAACCUCAUGAAAGUGGGGCUAAUACGGGGUAUUCCGGGUCUGUCGCAUGGCGGGUUUGGGAAAGAUUGCGCCUUUGGGUGUUUUCGGUGGGGGAUGGGCUCGGGGCCUAUCAGCUUGUUGGGGGGGGGAUGGCCUACCAAGGCGGUGACGGGUAGCCGGUCUGAGAGGGUGGACGGCCACACUGGGACUGAGACACGGCCCAGACUCCUGCGGGAGGCAGCAGUGGGGAAUAUUGCACAAUGGGCGCAAGCCUGAUGCAGCGACGCCGCGUGAGGGAUGGAGGCCUUCGGGUUGUGAACCUCUUUCGCCAGUGAAGCAGGCCUGCUCCUGUGUGGGUGGGUUGACGGUAGCUGGAUAAGAAGCGCCGGCUAACUACGUG